ACGGAGGGUGCAAGCGUUGUUCGGAUUUACUGGGCGUAAAGGGCGCGUAGGCGGCAUUAUAAGCCAGAUGUGAAAGCCCACGGCUCAACCGUGGAAGGGCAUCUGGAACUGUAAGGCUUGAGUAUGGGAGAGGAAAGUGGAAUUCCCGGUGUAGAGGUGAAAUUCGUAGAUAUCGGGAGGAAUACCGGUGGCGAAGGCGACUUUCUGGACCAAUACUGACGCUGAGGCGCGAAAGCGUGGGUAGCAAACAGGAUUAGAUACCCUGGUAGUCCACAGCUGUAAACGAUGAUAACUAGGUAUAGGGGGAGUUGACCCCUUCUGUGCCGCAGCUAACGCAUUAAGUUAUCCGCCUGGGGAGUACGGUCGCAAGAUUA
rnacentral:rRNA from 1 species